rnacentral:rRNA from 1 species
AUUGUACGCUGGCGGCAUGCCUUACACAUGCAAGUCGAACGGUAACAGGUCUUCGGAUGCUGACGAGUGGCGAACGGGUGAGUAAUACAUCGGAACGUGCCUAGUAGUGGGGGAUAACUACUCGAAAGAGUGGCUAAUACCGCAUGAGAUCUACGGAUGAAAGCAGGGGAUCGAAAGACCUUGUGCUACUAGAGCGGCCGAUGGCAGAUUAGGUAGUUGGUGGGAUAAAAGCUUACCAAGCCGACGAUCUGUAGCUGGUCUGAGAGGACGAUCAGCGACACGGGGACGGAGACACGGCCCAGACUCCUACGGGAGGCAGCAGUGGGGAAUUUUGGACAAUGGGCGAAAGCCUGAUCCAGCAAUGCCGCGUGCAGGAUGAAGGCCUUCGGGUUGUAAACUGCUUUUGUACGGAACGAAAAGCCCUGGGUUAAUACCCUGGGGUCAUGACGGUACCGUAAGAAUAAGCACCGGCUAACUACGUGCCAGCCGCCGCCGUAAUAC